rnacentral:rRNA from 1 species
AAUAGAUACCCCGGUAGUCCAUGCCGUAAACGUUGGGAACUAGAUGUGGGGACCAUUCCACGGUCUCCGUGUCGCAGCUAACGCAUUAAGUUCCCCGCCUGGGGAGUACGGCCGCAAGGCUAAAACUCAAAGGAAUUGACGGGGGCCCGCACAAGCGGCGGAGCAUGCGGAUUAAUUCGAUGCAACGCGAAGAACCUUACCAAGGCUUGACAUAUACCGGAAACGUCUGGAAACAGUCGCCCCGCAAGGUCGGUAUACAGGUGGUGUAUGGUUGUCGUCAGCUCGUGUCGUGAGAUGUUGGGUUAAGUCCCGCAACGAGCGCAACCCUCGUCCUAUGUUGCCAGCACGUGAUGGUGGGGACUCAUAGGAGACUGCCGGGGUCAACUCGGAGGAAGGUGGGGAUGAGGUCAAAUCAUCAUGCCCCUUAUGUCUUGGGCUUCACGCAUGCUACAAUGGCCGGUACAAAGGGCAGCAAUACCGUGAGGUGGAGCGAAUCCCAAAAAGCCGGUCUCAGUUCGGAUUGAGGUCUGCAACUCGACCCC